rnacentral:rRNA from 1 species
CACGUAGGGGGCAAGCGUUGUCCGGAUUUAUUGGGCGUAAAGAGCGUGUAGGCGGCUUUACAGGUCCGUUGUGAAAACUCGAGGCUCAACCUCGAGACGCCGGUGGAAACCGUAAGGCUAGAGUCCGGAAGAGGAGAGUGGAAUUCCUGGUGUAGCGGUGAAAUGCGCAGAUAUCGGGAGGAACACCAGUGGCGAAGGCGGCACUCUGGGCCAGUACUGACACUGAGGAGCGAAAGCGUGGGGAGCGAACAGG